GGCCCGUUAGCUCAGCUGGUUAGAGCGCUAGCCUGUCACGCUAGAGGUCGUCGGUUCGAUCCCGAUACGGGUCGCCA
rnacentral:tRNA from 3 species